UUAGAUUAAAAACUAAAAAAAUGGGUAACUCUCAAAUUUAGAGUUAAUUUCUGAAAAUGGGUUAAUAAACUUCUAUAAAUAUAAAGACUUAAAGAAAUAUAAGACAUUUCACUCUUAUUCAUUUUCAUAAGUACAAGAGGCUUAAUUUAUACACUAAUGAAAUAUAAGAAAAAAAUAUUAUAAAAGGAAUAAACUUAAUGAUAGGUAAAUAUUUCACCAUAUACAUGUAUUCGGUACAUAACAUUUUUAUUAUAAUGUUUAGUUCAUAACUAUUUGCAAUCACGUCAAAAUACCCAAAAGCAAUAAUUAGAUGCCAUCGUUUUUCUAAAGAAAUGAUGACGAUCAAUCCUAGCCAUCUCAGGCACCGUGAAUUCAACAAUGGUGGCUACAUUAUCAUCGUUGUUUAAAGGUGGGGUUGAAUGGUCACUAAAUUGCAAGUACACGCAUCCAAUUGCUUUACGUCAGUAAAUUUGAAAUUUUGACGAUGUAAGAGAGUAAGUGGACACCCAGAAAAUGGAUUAAAAUUUAGCGACACGCCUCCUAGUGUCAGCUCUUCAUUUGGGUGCAGGAAGCACCACAUCGGUCGUGUUAUGUGGUGCGCCAAGUACACAGAAGACUUGCUUCAAUAUUUCGAUUUUGGCAAAUUUUAAUAAUUUUUUUCCCUCUGGGGUACAUGGACUUUCCUCGAUGAUGGUUAUUAUACAUUAACUUAGCGCUCGCUUAGAAAUAGCUUGUGAUCAAUUUCAUAUAGGCAAUUCAAAAAGCCAAUGAGUGAUAAAAUGGACCCAUAAUUUUAUUCCUCCCUCAACUGGUAGGGGUGGGCAUAUUUUAACCUAACCGAUCCAAACCGACCAUUUGGAUCGGUUUGGAUUGGUUUCAUUAGUAAAAAAACUGGUUUCGGUUUAUUGGAUUGCAAACCGACAUCACUCGGUUUGGAUUUCGGUUUGGAAGGAUUCCAAACCGAUUCAAACCGAUCCAAUCCAAAAAUAUUAUAUAAUUACAUUAUAUUCUAAGUUAAGCAAUCUAACUAAUUAUAUUUAUCAUUUUAUGCAGAUUUUCACAAAUCAAAACUAAUUAGGCCAUAAGUUUUGACGGACAAGAUGCACAAUAUUUUAAUUGUCAAAUGUUGUUCAACUUUAUUUUAAUUUUGUGAGUUUGUUUUGAAUGAAUAGGUUAAGAACUUCUUUAUUAGAAUGUAUUAUGUUGUAAACUUGUAUGGAUGUAUCUUUGAAUUGUUAUGUAGAUGUCAAAGUAGAUAUGAAUAAUAUAAAAGAGGUAUCAAUUUGGAUUACGGACACAAAAAAAAAACAAAUAAUUUAGGUAAAAUAAUAAAAAAGAAGUGGAUUUUUAGCUAAUAAACUCAAACCGAGAAUCCAAACCGAUCCAAACUGAUCCAGUCGGUUUGGAUCGGUUCGGUUUGAAAAAUUUUUAAGUUGAUAUCGGUUUGAAAUAUUUUCAAACCGAUAAGUUUGGAUCGGUUUGAGAAUAUGUCUCAAACCGAUCCAAACCGACUUUGCCCACCCCUAUCAACUGGUGUACACUGGAGCCAC
rnacentral:lncRNA from 1 species